rnacentral:tRNA from 1 species
GGGGGUAUAGCUCAGUGGUAGAGCUUUCGACUGCGGAUCGAGAGGUCCCCGGUUCAAACCUGGUGCCCCCU